GUUUUAUCACCGCAGCAGACAUUUAUGCCAGUACCAACGGGGAACCUCUAAGGCGACCAAGAGAACUGCAGCAAGGACAACGGCAUUGGGGAGGUGCCACCCACACAGGUUUACUGCCACUGGAGGCCGAGAGGGCUGCCCACUCCGAGAAAAUAUCUCCCCCUCCCACCGCCCCCAAGGCUGUUUCGGUUUAGCUCGUGAGAAGAAGCGAAGAGGGCCCGGCACCGCCCGCGAGCAGCGAGAGGAGGGCCCAAGGUGCGCCCGUCCCCCCCGUCCCCCCUCCGGCUGGGUAAAGCCCGGGCGGCUCCGGUGGUUUUCGUUGCUACGACCACCUCCAGCGGGAUUCAGCGGAGGCCGUCGAGGAGCGCGUGACGCACCUCCUUCCCCCCUCUCUCUCCUUCCUUCCCUCCCUCCCUCCGCUCUCUUCUCCCGGAGAACAAAAGAAGAAUUCUUUGCACAGCAGGCUGUAUUGUGACUUCACAUAACAACUAGAGUUGCCCAGGAUUCAGGGAUUUGCAUGAUUGUACUUAUCAUAACCGGGUGUAUAGCUGCUUCAUAGAACCUCUGAUUGUGGAAUGGAGCUCAGAAGGAAAACUCUGCAGUAACAUAAGAGGUUCAACAGGAUAUCUAGAUUGGUGUUAAGAAACUUCCUUAAUAUAAUGACAGUCAUUUUUGCCUGUCCAGCAACAGAAAACAUCACAAGGAUCAACACCAAAAGUAUCUCAAACCCACUUGAGAACCAGUGACCCAUAUGAACUAAAGCAAUUGGAAAACCAAUUCCAAUUUCUCAGAAUGGAUUUGGAAUUGCAGAAGGGGAAAAAUAUUUUAAAGUGGAAGUGGAGAGAGAGGAGGACAGAAUUGGAGUAUGAGGAACAAUUUCAAAGUUUGGAAUUGGAGAGAAUGAUGGAAUGAUGCUUAUCAGUUAAGUAAACAGAGGAACACCAAUCCAACAUUUCCCACUGCUGCUCCUACGGAAAACUGGCAAGUUUCCAAGGUGAAAUUAGUUAAGUGAACCUUACUACUGUGAACCUUACCAGAAUUUGAGGAUGAAGUUUUAUCCAUGAGAAAGAGGGAUGUCCCUUAUGUAACUACUGUAUGUGGGCAUCAUAUCUUUUCCCUAGUACAUUUUGGAGGUGGUGUGAGGGCCAAUGGAAUAUAUUUAGUUUUCUCCUCUUGAGAAUGUAGAGGAUACAGUCAGUGGCAGUUCCAUCACCACCUCCCCUUUCCAGAGUUACUGAAGGAUGAGAUUGCACAUAAUAGUUUUGUGGAUGUAGAAGGAAAACACAAUGCCUAUCAAAAGUGAGGAGAGGAGAAGAAAGCAAGACAGUUUUCCUCAAAUGUGUCUUCUGCUCUCAUGUCCCUGUUUUCAUCAACAAAGAAUUAACAGCUUUCCCCUUAGAAAGUUACACAUGGUUCUACUUUCAUUUUUCUCUUUUGAGCUUCAGGACAGAAUUGAACUCUUCAACCAUGAAGAGCAUUUGCUCAAACAAUUUUCUAUCACUGCUAGUUAUUUCCUGUUUUGAUGGAAUGAAAAAAAUACCCUAUUUUCCUUUUUUAUUUUUCCGAAGAGCCAAAUAACACUGGAAAAGAAUAUCUCCCACCUGUUCUCCUUUCCAUAUUAAUCCGAAUAUAACAAUAAUUUAUGUUACUUGUGUGUGUGUGUGUGUUAAUUUCUGAGGUACAUCACAUGCUGUUUCUUUGGGAUCCUAGCAUAUUAAUCAUCUUGAUUUGGUUGGUGGGGGUAGUAUUUAACUUCCCUUGUUCCAGUCUGCAUCCCUCUCCAGUCCUACUCCUUCUACCCCCAUUCUUUGUAUUUGUAUUCUGUAGAAGCAGCUGAAGAAAGGAAGCCUGCUGUACAAGAGUAAAAUAGAUCCGGCAGUUACUCAGCUCCUGAGACAUCAUGGUAUGACUCAUGAGUAGAAUAAAGAGAUGUGAAAAUCAAAAGCUGUUGCAUUCCCCCCAAGCAUUACACACAUAUCCCCCUUCGCUUUUCCUCCUACCUGGAGAGGUUUGUGGCACCUCAA